rnacentral:ncRNA from 1 species
AAUCUUACCUAGAAAGUGGUACCCGCCACAUCUAGUAGCGAGUCUUGGGCUUUACUUGGUAACAAGUAAAGUUAAGCGUAGACAGUCAGGUAUCAGGGUUAGUAUUGAGUUUCGAAAGUUAUCUUACAAAUCAAGUUGGUAGACGCUUUCGUCCAAGCGGAAUACAACAUUUGAUAGUACGAAAUGGGAAGUAUUAUCAAACACUUGCGGAAUCUAA